CCGAUGUCAAGGAAAGAAACGACUACCUGACUUUUAGAAGACACCUGAAGAUCCUGUAAGACAGGCGCCGACACGGACCACAGCUGCGAACCGUGAGGCAGAUGUACUGAUACAGUUUGUCUUCCGCGACUGAGGGAAGUGAUGGAGGCCUAUCCCCAGUCAAGAUCAGCAUCUGUGUGGAGUGCAGUUUGCAAAAA